rnacentral:rRNA from 1 species
CAGGACGAACGCUGGCGGCGUGCCUAAUACAUGCAAGUCGUACGCUUUUUCUUUCACCGGAGCUUGCUCCACCGAAAGAAAAGGAGUGGCGAACGGGUGAGUAACACGUGGGUAACCUGCCCAUCAGAAGGGGAUAACACUUGGAAACAGGUGCUAAUACCGUAUAACAAUCGAAACCGCAUGGUUUUGAUUUGAAAGGCGCUUUCGGGUGUCGCUGAUGGAUGGACCCGCGGUGCAUUAGCUAGUUGGUGAGGUAACGGCUCACCAAGGCCACGAUGCAUAGCCGACCUGAGAGGGUGAUCGGCCACAUUGGGACUGAGACACGGCCCAAACUCCUACGGGAGGCAGCAGUAGGGAAUCUUCGGCGAUGGACGAAAGUCUGACCGAGCAACGCCGCGUGAGUGAAGAAGGUUUUCGGAUCGUAAAACUCUGUUGUUAGAGGAAGAACAAGGAUGAGAGUAACUGUUCAUCCCUUGACGGUAUCUAACCAGAAAGCCACGGCUAACUACGUGCCAC